rnacentral:rRNA from 1 species
CACACUAUCAUUAACUGAAUCCAUAGGUUAAUGAGGCGAACCGGGGGAACUGAAACAUCUAAGUACCCCGAGGAAAAGAAAUCAACCGAGAUUCCCCCAGUAGCGGCGAGCGAACGGGGAGCAGCCCAGAGCCUGAAUCAGUAUGUGUGUUAGUGGAAGCGUCUGGAAAGGCGCGCGAUACAGGGUGACAGCCCCGUACACAAAAAUGCACAUGCUGUGAGCUCGAUGAGUAGGGCGGGACACGUGGUAUCCUGUCUGAAUAUGGGGGGACCAUCCUCCAAGGCUAAAUACUCCUGACUGACCGAUAGUGAACCAGUACCGUGAGGGAAAGGCGAAAAGAACCCCGGCGAGGGGAGUGAAAAAGAACCUGAAACCGUGUACGUACAAGCAGUGGGAGCACGCUUAGGCGUGUGACUGCGUACCUUUUGUAUAAUGGGUCAGCGACUUAUAUUCUGUAGCAAGGUUAACCGAAUAGGGGAGCCGAAGGGAAACCGAGUCUUAACUGGGCGUUAAGUUGCAGGGUAUAGACCCGAAACCCGGUGAUCUAGCCAUGGGCAGGUUGAAGGUUGGGUAACACUAACUGGAGGACCGAACCGACUAAUGUUGAAAAAUUAGCGGAUGACUUGUGGCUGGGGGUGAAAGGCCAAUCAAACCGGGAGAUAGCUGGUUCUCCCCGAAAGCUAUUUAGGUAGCGCCUCGUGAAUUCAUCUCCGGGGGUAGAGCACUGUUUCGGCAAGGGGGUCAUCCCGACUUACCAACCCGAUGCAAACUGCGAAUACCGGAGAAUGUUAUCACGGGAGACACACGGCGGGUGCUAACGUCCGUCGUGAAGAGGGAAACAACCCAGACCGCCAGCUAAGGUCCCAAAGUCAUGGUUAAGUGGGAAACGAUGUGGGAAGGCCCAGACAGCCAGGAUGUUGGCUUAGAAGCAGCCAUCAUUUAAAGAAAGCGUAAUAGCUCACUGGUCGAGUCGGCCUGCGCGGAAGAUGUAACGGGGCUAAACCAUGCAC